rnacentral:rRNA from 1 species
GACGAACGCUGGCGGCGUGCCUAAUACAUGCAAGUCGAGCGAAGUUUUUCUGGUGCUUGCACUAGAAAAACUUAGCGGCGAACGGGUGAGUAACACGUAAAGAACCUGCCUCAUAGACUGGGACACCUAUUGGAAACGCUAGCUAAUACCGGAUAACAGCAUUAACUGCUUGGUUGAUGGUUAAAAGUUGGUUUUGCUAACACUAUGAGAUGGCUUUGCGGUGCAUUAGCUUGUUGGUGGGGUAAAGGCCUACCAAGGCGGCGAUGCAUAGCCGACCUGAGAGGGUGAUCGGCCACACUGGGACUGAGACACGGCCCAGACUCCUACGGGAGGCAGCAGUAGGGAAUCUUCCGCAAUGGGCGAAAGCCUGACGGAGCAACGCCGCGUGAGUGAAGAAGGAUUUCGGUUCGUAAAGCUCUGUUGUUAGGGAAGAAUGAUUGUGUAGUAACUAUACACAGUAGAGACGGUACCUAACCAGAAAGCCACGGCUAACUACGUG